UAUAUUUUUUUUCUCUUCUUCUUUCUCACGCACGUGUGACCCCCUCCCCCAGCUCUUCUUCUUCUCUUCUUCUCUACGUGCCCUAGUCGCCGCCCACCGUCUCCUCAUCGGUGUUGUUCGAGUUCGCGUGCCACCUGUUGUCGUUGCCCAUUAAUCGAGUCGAGGUGUUCGCCGUGGGUCUGCAUCGUUUAACAAUCUGUGAAGCCAUCAUCGUGCGCGUCUUUCUACAGCCAACGACUACUCAGACAAAACUCAUCCCGAGCCGUCUUCGUUCCGUCGGAGCUGAAGCCGGAGUGCCGUUCGUCCGCGCCUUCGUCCGGCUACGUCUGCGCGGGCUUCCGUUCGUGAAGCCCCAACCUCUGCGGCUUCGUCCGGCUACGUCCGCGUCAAUCUCCGUUCGAAAGCCCAGCCGUCGCGUCAACUUGUCGAUCGGUCGUGAGGCAGCGCGCGUUUCCUCUUCGCAGCGUGUUUCCGCGAUUCAUAAACCAAGUACACUCUAGUCUGUUUGUACCAUUGUUUUUGUUUAGGGUCGAUUGCCGCUGCCCCUAUUUUACUGAGGUGUUGAAAGUAAAGUUGACUUCUUUGGAUUCACAACCAAAUUAUAGAAGUGUUGGAGUUCGAUUCUCCUUUAUCUUAUUAUAGAAGUGUUGGAGUUCGAUUCACCUUUAUCUUGGUAUUCUUCGUGGGACUUUGGUUCGGUUAAGGACCUUAGGUAACGUAUAAGUAAGGGACUUUCUACCGGACCCAUAUGUAGAUUUCAAUGAUUAAAACGAUAUGUAGAUUUCAAUGAUUAAAACGAUAUGUAGAUUUCAAUGAUUAAAACGAUUUGACUGUUAUGCAUGGACUUGAAUGACUUAAAGGAUAUGACAGCUAAGUGUAGGUUGAAAUGGUUAUAGAGACUUAAUUGCUUCGAGUAAUUUUAAGUGUGUUGAUGUUGAAAUGGUUAUAGAGACUUAAUUGCUUUGAGUAAUUUUAAGUGUGUUUCGAUUGACUAAAUUAAAAUGUUUGUUGACUGAACUAAGGAUGGUUGACUGGCAUGUUAAAAAAAUGGAUGAUGUACGUUUGACUGGAUUAACUGAACUGAGGUGAGUGACAAUUACGUAUGAGUAUAUCUAUUUGAUAAAUCGUUACGCUAAGGUUAGAUUGUGUAUUAGUAAGAGAUUUUCCACUAUCGGACUCACCUAUAAAGUAGAAUAUGUUGAUUGUAUGUUAUCCCUAAACUGAGAAUGGAUGUCAGUUAUAAUACAUAUAAUUUGAAGUGGACUUGAGAUUGAAUGUAUGUUGGGUUUGACUAGAACUAUAUAUAUACACAUGAAUGUUGAAAUGACUGCAAAGUGUGGAUGUUGCCUAUAUAAUAUGCAGAUGUGAAGUUGUCUGUCAUGUGGACCGGGUGUAAAUUAUAUCAAGUACAGCUGUGUGCUAGUGAACUGAGAGGAUGCUAUGAUUACUUAAUUUGUUCGACUUAUGUGUUGAUAUGUUACUGACUGACUUGGGCUGAAAUGCAAUAAGUUGACUGUUAGGGUUUUAAGUGAAGGGAUUAUGUGCUGAGGUAAUCUGACUGUAAUAUGGUUGACUGAUAAAAUGUCUAGAAUGGACUGAGGGGAAUAAUUAUUAGUUUCCUAAUGGGUAGUUACCUUGCAGGUAUCCUACGGAUCACCACCUGAUAUAUGCAUCCUUUGAUAGCACUAGACUGAUAUGUGCAUCAUUCGGGAGCACUAGACUGAUAUGUGUUUAUGCAGAACACUAGACUGAUUUAUGCGCCUCUCGGGGCGUUAGACUGAUUACGUGUUUCCUACGAGAUCACAAAAAUGUGACUGUGCAGGGCAAAGGUAACAAAAGAGGUAGAACGACGAGGGACAAGAAGGAGACGUGAUUGCCAUAGGGGAAUGUCCUUCAAAUGCUUCCGCUUUAUUUUUUUAUUUUUUUUUAUUUUUUUUUCUUAGUAUAUGAGGUUGUUUAAAAUUUUUGUGAUGGAACUAAGUUUACGAAUGGUCGUUUUGUAAACAGUACUUUUAAAGUUUUGGUUAUUUGAAAUAGGGCCCGACUUAAGGUUGUUUUCUUUGA